rnacentral:lncRNA from 1 species
GUUUGAUCCUCGCACUUGUAUAUAAGUUAAAUCUCCUCCCAUUAUUUUUGCUGAUGUAGAUGUGUAUCAUAACAUCAUGACAGCAAUUGAAAAAAAUAAUCUUGUUAUUGUUAUUUUAAUAAACUUAAAAUUAAUCUCUAUUUAUAUCAAAGUAGUACUGGGUAAGUGAAAUGCAUGUAUCUAAGGGAGAACCCCUGGAACAGCAAGGAAAGCACAUCAUUGAGUUUCCAUUGGAUUAUGGAAAAAUUGGUUGGU